UCAGGUGUUUUCUUCAGCCUUAUGCCUUUUGGGACAAGGUUCUUCAGAGCUUCCCCAGCCUGAUCCUCCAUCUAUUUGCCGUCCUGGCAAUUUAGGGCUUUCUGGUUUCUUGAUGUCCUCAGUGUUAGUUUCCAAGCGACAAGUGCCAUGCGUGGCAAGUGUUUCUUCUUCUUCAGCGGCGGCAUGGGCUUCAUGCAUUUUGGGGCUAGGAGGUUCUUCAAAAGCAAAAUAGGUUGCGCCUCUAUCUAAAAGCAAUCCAGGCCACUGAGGGCUUUCGGGGUUGUUGAUGUCCAGAGUCGGCGUGACAAAGAGAAGAUCGUAAUACAUGGCAUCCAAUCGUCGAAGCAUAUCGGUGUAGUAGCCGCCGGCACCUAUGAACUGAUCUGCGAACAGGACCAAACUAGCUUCAUAACGCAUGCCCCGAGGAGAGUCCCUUGCCCAUAAAAACAUGUCAUUUAACAUUCUGAUACGUCUCGAGGCUUUAUCCCCUGGAAAAAGGAGAAAAAAAAA